AGAGUUUGAUCCUGGCUCAGGAUGAACGCUAGCGGCAGGCUUAACACAUGCAAGUCGAGGGGCAGCGGGGAGGAAGCUUGCUUUCUCCGCCGGCGACCGGCGCACGGGUGAGUAACACGUAUGCAACCUGCCCCUGUCAGGGGGACAACCCGCCGAAAGGCGGGCUAAACCCGCGUACAUGCCACCGGGGCAUCCCGGAGGCAGGAAAGGCUUCGGCCGGACAGGGAUGGGCAUGCGGCGCAUUAGGCAGUAGGCGGGGUAACGGCCCACCUAACCGACGAUGCGUAGGGGUUCUGAGAGGAAGGUCCCCCACACUGGUACUGAGACACGGACCAGACUCCUACGGGAGGCAGCAGUGAGGAAUAUUGGUCAAUGGUCGGGAGACUGAACCAGCCAAGCCGCGUGAGGGAGGAAGGUACAGAGUAUCGUAAACCUCUUUUGUCAGGGAACAAAGGCGGGGACGUGUCCCCGGAUGAGUGUACCUGAAGAAAAAGCAUCGGCUAACUCCGUGCCAGCAGCCGCGGUAAUACGGAGGAUGCGAGCGUUAUCCGGAUUUAUUGGGUUUAAAGGGUGCGCAGGCGGUCUGUUAAGUCAGCGGUCAAAGCCCGGGGCUCAACCCCGGCCCGCCGUUGAAACUGGCAGUCUCGAGUUGGAGAGAAGUAUGCGGAAUGCGCGGUGUAGCGGUGAAAUGCAUAGAUAUCGCGCAGAACUCCGAUUGCGAAGGCAGCAUGCCGGCUCCACACUGACGCUGAGGCACGAAAGCGUGGGUAUCGAACAGGAUUAGAUACCCUGGUAGUCCACGCAGUAAACGAUGAAUGCUGGCUGUCCGGGGGGAUUGACCCCUGGGUGGCGAAGCGAAAGCGAUAAGCAUUCCACCUGGGGAGUACGCCGGCAACGGUGAAACUCAAAGGAAUUGACGGGGGCCCGCACAAGCGGAGGAACAUGUGGUUUAAUUCGAUGAUACGCGAGGAACCUUACCCGGGCUCAAACGGGGAGUGACUCAGGCAGAGACGCCUGUUUCCCACGGGACACUCCCCGAGGUGCUGCAUGGUUGUCGUCAGCUCGUGCCGUGAGGUGUCGGCUUAAGUGCCAUAACGAGCGCAACCCCCGCGUGCAGUUGCUAACAGAUAACGCUGAGGACUCUGCACGGACUGCCGGCGCAAGCCGCGAGGAAGGCGGGGAUGACGUCAAAUCAGCACGGCCCUUACGUCCGGGGCGACACACGUGUUACAAUGGGUGGUACAGCGGGAAGCCAGGCGGCGACGCCGAGCGGAACCCGAAAUCCACUCUCAGUUCGGAUCGGAGUCUGCAACCCGACUCCGUGAAGCUGGAUUCGCUAGUAAUCGCGCAUCAGCCAUGGCGCGGUGAAUACGUUCCCGGGCCUUGCACUCACCGCCCGUCAAG
rnacentral:rRNA from 1 species